GUCAGACUCCUACGGGAGGCAGCAGUGGGGAAUAUUGCACAAUGGGGGAAACCCUGAUGCAGCGACGCCGCGUGAGUGAAGAAGUAUUUCGGUAUGUAAAGCUCUAUCAGCAGGGAAGAAAAAAGACGGUACCUGACUAAGAAGCCCCGGCUAACUACGUGCCAGCAGCCGCGGUAAUACGUAGGGGGCAAGCGUUAUCCGGAUUUACUGGGUGUAAAGGGAGCGUAGACGGCGCGGCAAGUCUGAAGUGAAAGGCAGGGGCUUAACCCCUGAACUGCUUUGGAAACUGUGCAGCUCGAGUGCAGGAGAGGUAAGCGGAAUUCCUAGUGUAGCGGUGAAAUGCGUAGAUAUUAGGAGGAACACCAGUGGCGAAGGCGGCUUACUGGACUGUAACUGACGUUGAGGCUCGAAAGCGUGGGGAGCAAACAGGAUUAGAUACCCGAGUACU
rnacentral:rRNA from 1 species